CUCUCUCUCUCACUCUAGCCGUAUGGUUCAUUCUUGUUUCCUAAUCCUUCUUCCUAGCCCAUCAACAACUAUAAUUCAAUUAAAAUAGAGAGAGAGAGAGAGAGAGAGAGAGCUUUGAGCUUUUUUCUUGGUUCAAUGCCAAAAGGGACCAAAGUCCACCUCGCAUUAAGACCUCAAAGACCAUUGGAAUAACCACAGCAAAGAGCCAAAAAGCUACCACAUUUCCUCUUCUCUCUCUCUCUCUCUCUCUCUCAGAGCUUGAGAGAGUGUGUAAUUGUUUUGAUCUUGUUUUCUGGGUUGAUCCACCGACCCGAAGCUUCGAUUCCAUCGGAGGAGACCCACAGCCCGAGCCUGGUCCCGACGGCGGACCCCAAGCUGCAGCUUCCGAUGGACGGCUGACCUCCACGAGCGAUUCGUCGACGCCGUCGCCCAGCUCGGGGCCCCCGAAAGUUGGUACCUUUUUGCCUUUUGCUGCAAGUGUUCCCUGGUUCUCCAUCAUCAAUGACCGAAAGCUUCCUGCAUUUUAGAGAAUAGGAGCAGCAGUGCUUUAUCUCCAAAAAGUACCUACUCUUGAUGUCAGCACGAUGCAUGAGCAAGUCGGGAAACAUUGGACAUGGUUGGUGCUCCUGCUUUUAGGGGUCAGGAAGUGAAAGAGGCACUAAGAGCACAAAUGGAAGUGCAAAGACUGCUUGAACAAGUGGAGGCUCCUUGAUCAGGUUCAGAAGCAUCUACAGAUUCGAAUGGACGCGCAUCAGAAGUACAUCGAUUCCUUGCUAGCAAAGGCAUAUAAGAUAGCGUCAGAGCAAAUCGCUUCGAAUGGUUUCAGCAUGACCAAACAAGAAGCUCCAGACAUGGCAACCAGGGCCAUUUCCUCCCCAUCUCUCCUCCAUCAGCUAUCGAUGAGUUCAGUAAACCUGCACAGCUCCAGUUGCAAGACUUCUCCCUCAUCCACCACUGCCGCAACCAUCGAAGGCCAGUUCUUCUAUCAGAAGUUUGCUGAAUUAGGAAACCAACCGUGCUGAUGUAUUGUCUGCAAGAUGGAUUCAUUCUCUGUUAUCAGAUCUUGCAAAUUUGGUGCCAUCUUGUAAGAUCAUUGAGAAAACUCCCACUGUCCCGCUCCACAAUUGUUCUGUAACAGCCCUUUAAUUGUUCGUGUACUACCUGCUAUGAAACAAAGUCGCAUUGUUGUGUUCUA